rnacentral:tRNA from 1 species
UCCCUGGUGGCCUAGUAGGUAAGGAACUGGCAUUGUCACUGCUGGGGUACAGGUUCAAUCCCUGGCCUGGGAA